rnacentral:rRNA from 1 species
GACGAACGCUGGCGGCGUGCCUAAUACAUGCAAGUCGAGCGAAGUUUUUCUGGUGCUUGCACUAGAAAAACUUAGCGGCGAACGGGUGAGUAACACGUAAAGAACCUGCCUCAUAGACUGGGACAACUAUUGGAAACGAUAGCUAAUACCGGAUAACAGUAUUUCUCGCAUGAGAGAUAUUUAAAAGUUGGUUAUGCUAACACUAUGAGAUGGCUUUGCGGUGCAUUAGCUAGUUGGUGGGGUAAAGGCCCACCAAGGCGACGAUGCAUAGCCGACCUGAGAGGGUGAUCGGCCACACUGGGACUGAGACACGGCCCAGACUCCUACGGGAGGCAGCAGUAGGGAAUCUUCCGCAAUGGGCGAAAGCCUGACGGAGCAACGCCGCGUGAGUGAAGAAGGAUUUCGGUUCGUAAAGCUCUGUCGUUAGGGAAGAAUGGAUAUGUAGUAACUAUACAUGUAAGAGACGGUACCUAACCAGAAAGCCACGGCUAACUACGUG